rnacentral:rRNA from 1 species
UACGUAGGGUGCAAGCGUUAAUCGGAAUUACUGGGCGUAAAGCGUGCGCAGGCGGUUUUGUAAGUCUGUCGUGAAAUCCCCGGGCUCAACCUGGGAAUUGCGAUGGAGACUGCAAGGCUAGAAUCUGGCAGAGGGGGGUAGAAUUCCACGUGUGAGCAGUGAAAUGCGUAGAGAUGUGGAGGAACACCGAUGGCGAAGGCAGCCCCUGGGUCAAGAUUGACGCUCAUGCACGAAGACGUGGGGAGCAAGAAG